rnacentral:rRNA from 1 species
AGAGUUUGAUCAUGGCUCAGAUUGAACGCUGGCGGCAGGCUUAACACAUGCAAGUCGAGCGGAGAUGAGGUGCUUGCACCUUAUCUUAGCGGCGGACGGGUGAGUAAUGCUUAGGAAUCUGCCUAUUAGUGGGGGACAACAUUCCGAAAGGAAUGCUAAUACCGCAUACGUCCUACGGGAGAAAGCAGGGGAUCUUCGGACCUUGCGCUAAUAGAUGAGCCUAAGUCGGAUUAGCUAGUUGGUGGGGUAAAGGCCUACCAAGGCGACGAUCUGUAGCGGGUCUGAGAGGAUGAUCCGCCACACUGGGACUGAGACACGGCCCAGACUCCUACGGGAGGCAGCAGUGGGGAAUAUUGGACAAUGGGGGGAACCCUGAUCCAGCCAUGCCGCGUGUGUGAAGAAGGCCUUAUGGUUGUAAAGCACUUUAAGCGAGGAGGAGGCUACUGAGACUAAUACUCUUGGAUAGUGGACGUUACUCGCAGAAUAAGCACCGGCUAACUCUGUGCCAGCAGCCGCGGUAAUACAGAGGGUGCGAGCGUUAAUCGGAUUUACUGGGCGUAAAGCGUGCGUAGGCGGCUUUUUAAGUCGGAUGUGAAAUCCCCGAGCUUAACUUGGGAAUUGCAUUCGAUACUGGGAAGCUAGAGUAUGGGAGAGGAUGGUAGAAUUCCAGGUGUAGCGGUGAAAUGCGUAGAGAUCUGGAGGAAUACCGAUGGCGAAGGCAGCCAUCUGGCCUAAUACUGACGCUGAGGUACGAAAGCAUGGGGAGCAAACAGGAUUAGAUACCCUGGUAGUCCAUGCCGUAAACGAUGUCUACUAGCCGUUGGGGCCUUUGAGGCUUUAGUGGCGCAGCUAACGCGAUAAGUAGACCGCCUGGGGAGUACGGUCGCAAGACUAAAACUCAAAUGAAUUGACGG